UCUUGCAGUAACUCAGACUUGGGAGAUUUGUCCUUUCUAUGUGAAAAGUUGCACCCAAAUUUGCAAAAACUGGAACUAUUAAGAGAGGAUAAAAUUGGGCACAAUCUAAAGCUUUUUCACAGAACAAUCACCACUCUGAAGGAAUUAUCAGUCAGAAAUCUAGCCUUGUAAGGGAAGAACUCCAUCUUGAGCAAUCUGUUGCUGCUUUUCAUUUAUUUAUUUAUUUCUUUUUUGAGAACUGUCUAAAAGGCAAAUGAAGCAGCACUGCUAGUUUUCUGCCUUGUUAAUUUAAAUCCCAAUGUAAAAUAAAAUAUGUAUUAGCUCUAAUUGAAAUUUUCAUAAGGUUCCUUUUUUUCUUACGGAAGGAUUGAUUGGAAAGAAAUGAAUUUUGUUAGGGCCUCAUGUCAAAAUGUAUUAGGAGUGUAAAAUGUUUAUUUAAAUUAGUGAGAUUAGGAUUGCAGACUUGUCCUGUACUUAAUGCAGGAUCUUGCUAUAUUUUAAAUAAUUGUUGUGUGUAUCAUUUUCAUAGUUGUAAGGAGGUUUUGAGCCA